rnacentral:rRNA from 1 species
UACGUAGGGUGCGAGCGUUGCCCGGAUUUAUUGGGCGUAAAGGGCGCGUAGGCGGCCACGUGCGUCCGUUGUGAAAUCGCCCGGCUCAACUGGGCGGGGUCAGCGGAUACGGCGUGGCUGGAGCAAGCUAGGGGGCAAUGGAAUUCCCGGUGUAGUGGUGGAAUGCGUAGAUAUCUGGAGGAACACCGGUGGCGAAGGCGGCAUCCUGGACCAACACUGACGCUGAGUGAGCGAAAGCCAGGGGAGCAAACGGG